GGCUCAAUGGUCUAGUAGCAUGAUACGUGCUUCGGGAGUUACCCCGCCGCCAACGGGUGGUUAAGAUGUACGUGACCCGGGUUCAAUUCCCGGUUGAGCCC